rnacentral:rRNA from 1 species
UACGAAGGGUGCAAGCGUUAAUCGGAAUUACUGGGCGUAAAGCGUGCGCAGGCGGUUAUAUAAGACAGAUGUGAAAUCCCCGGGCUCAACCUGGGAACUGCACUUGUGACUGCAAGGCUAGAGUACGGCAGAGGGGGAUGGAAUUCCGCGUGUAGCAGUGAAAUGCGUAGAUAUGCGGAGGAACACCAAUGGCGAAGGCAAUCCC